rnacentral:rRNA from 1 species
UACGUAGGGAGCAAGCGUUGUCCGGAAUCAUUGGGCGUAAAGCGCGCGUAGGUGGCCCCAUAAGUCCGCUGUGAAGGUCAAAGGCUCAACCUUUGAAAGCCGGUGGAUACUGUGGGACUAGAGUACGGAAGAGGCGAGUGGAAUUCCUGGUGUAGCGGUGGAAUGCGCAGAUAUCAGGAGGAACACCAAUAGCGAAGGCAGCUCGCUGGGACGUUACUGACACUGAGGCGCGAAAGCGUGGGGAGCGAACAGG